rnacentral:tRNA from 1 species
GAGGGUAUAGCUCAAGCAGUAGAGUGCAUGCUUAGUUUGCAUGAGGUCCUGGGUUCAAUUCCAGCACCUCCA